rnacentral:rRNA from 1 species
AUUGAACGCUGGCGGCAUGCUUUACACAUGCAAGUCGAACGGUAACAGGUUAAGCUGACGAGUGGCGAACGGGUGAGUAAUGCAUCGGAACGUGCCCGGUCGUGGGGGAUACCGCAGCGAAAGCUGCGCUAAAACCGCAUACGAUCUGAGGAUGAGAGCGGGGGACCGUAAGGCCUCGCGCGAUCGGAGCGGCCGAUGUCAGAUUAGGUAGUUGGGGGGGUAAAGGCUCACCAAGCUGACGAUCUGUAGCUGGUCUGAGAGGACGACCAGCCACACUGGGACUGAGACACGGCCCAGACUCCUACGGGAGGCAGCAGUGGGGAAUUUUGGACAAUGGGCGCAAGCCUGAUCCAGCAAUGCCGCGUGCAGGAAGAAGGCCUUCGGGUUGUAAACUGCUUUUGUACGGAGCGAAAAGGCUCUCUCUAAUACAGGGGGCUCAUGACGGUACCGUAAGAAUAAGCACCGGCUAACUACGUGCCAGCAGCCGCCGUAA